UCAAAUACUCUCUCAAGCCCUCUACCUCUCAUACUUUUGGGUCCAGCAACUAGGAAAGGGAAAUCCUUUCAUGCAAGAGUGAUUCUACUUCUAUUUCCCCUCAAGAACUAGAAACUUGGUGUUACCAGCCCUAAGUCUAAGCUCGUUCGACUUUAGGCUCUCAGUUCCUCUGCUUUCAAGUAAGGGAUAAGUUAUAUGGGUAUUUGGUAAGUCAUGAGGUUAUUUUAAAGUAUACUAUGCAUUAAAAGGUUUUUGAUUAGAGAUAUGACAUAUAAUCAUGUUUCAAACAAAGAUAUGUUCGUGAGUUCUCGAAACCUUAUGUAUAUGAUUUAAGCAUAUUGAUGCUAUUACUAAUUCCAUGAACAUGAUGUUUAAAGAAAACAAUGGAAAUGCUUUUAUUAUGAAAUGUUAUGCAAACUAUGAAUUUCAAUAUGAUAUAUAAGUAUGAAAUAUUUUUGGGU